rnacentral:rRNA from 1 species
GAGUAACACGUGGGCAACCUGCCUGAGAGUGCGGAAUAACCCUGCGAAAGCAGAGCUAAUACUGCAUGUGGUUGUCGGAUGGCAUCAUCUGACAACUAAAGUCGCAAGACGCUCUCAGAUGGGCCCGCGGCCUAUUAGCUAGUUGGUGAGGUAACGGCCCACCAAGGCGAUGAUGGGUAGCUGGUCUGAGAGGACGGACAGCCACACUGGGACUGAGACACGGCCCAGACUCCUACGGGAGGCAGCAGUGAGGAAUUUUCCGCAAUGGGCGAAAGCCUGACGGAGCAACGCCGCGUGAGGGAUGAAGUCUCUAGGGAUGUAAACCUCUGUUGGGUGGGACGAAGAUCUGACGGUACCACCUGAGGAAGCCCCGGCUAACUACGUGCCAGCAGCCGCGGUAAUACGUAGGGGGCGAGCGUUAUCCGGAUUUACUGGGUGUAAAGAGCGCGUAGGCGGUUCCGUAAGUUGGUUGUGAAAGUUCGAGGCUCAACCUCGAAACUGCGUCCAAUACUGCGGGGCUGGAGUGCAAGAGAGGCAAGUGGAAUUCCAGGUGUAGUAGUGAAAUGC